AGCUCUUGAGCAGCCCACCAAGAGUGGAAGAGGAAGUAAAGGCAGAAUCAGUUGCCACUUUUAGCUUUCACACUUUGCAGUCCAGAUGAGGUGCAAGGCCAGACGAGCCAUCCAAACAUAUUAAAUACACCAGGUAAAUGUCUCUACACAGGUCCCUUCAUGCUUUCUUCAUCAAUUAAAGCCAAUCUUGUUAUCAGCUAUUGCACGUGGCCUCAGAUCACAGUCUCUUUCUGAGUCUUGCCUUCUUUAGUCAGGCAUGCUCAUGGCCCACAGCACCACUAAAUCACCAAGUUUUUAUAUACACAAGCUUAGAUGUGCUGCUUCUUGAACAAGGUUAUCCAAUGUUUCAUUACAAAAAUUUGCACUGUCAGUUAGAGAUGCCCAUCAAAGCCUAUAAAACAAACAUUUGUGGGCAUCACCAAGAAAUUGUUAGCUCUCAUAUACAAUGUGUGCCUUUAGUGGCACAUUUUUAAAUAAAAUAUAGUGUACUAGUGAUUUCUAAUGCUUAAAAUAAAAUAAAAUAAUAAUCAACUUUUAGCUGCAGUUUCCCCCCGGUUAUUGAGCUGAACUUAAUGACUGGCUGAAAAGUAUUUGUCAACACAACAGCUGGAGAGCAACACUUUCUUGUAGCUUUAUGUCACAGCAUAUGCCAGCCACUCAGAACAUGUGAUAAUUCAACUGGAGCUGGUACUACAAUAGCAGAUGGGUUGAAGCAUUGUUAUUCUCACUCUAGCUCCCAGCCCUUGAGGGAUCACUAAAUAAAAUCAAAGCAGAUGGACCAUUACAAGCUCAUUUGUGUUCACUACAAGCACCUCAACCUCCAGUUGUGAUAUACUGCACCUUUGUAUAAAAUGACAUGUAUGGUAACAUGACCUAAUGAAAAUAGCAUCAGACUUGGCAAGUGAAGAAUGAGGCUGGGAAAUAUGCACAGAUCUGUUUAUCACUGAGUUCUUACCUUGCAGAAAGGGUUCAUUUCCACCACUCCCCAUGUUUAUCAUUUUAUUUCUAUCCAUGUUUAUCUUUAAAUUUCUGCACACUUGUUGCAAGUACCAUAAGAGGUGGCCGUGGUUCUGGCUGUAGACAGUCUAGCAGGUUUCCCGGCCUCUGCGGAGAUAGGACCAAUGCUACUAACCACAGCGGCAAGCUCCUGUUACUCACCCAUUUCUACGCUGCUGAUAAUAUGUUAUUCUGGGUCUCCCCCAAGUGGCAAGGCUUUGGCCACCCACUGAAACCAGUAUCUGUGGGGCUCAGGGCUUCCGCCUGCAUUAGUCAGCCUCCUUGUACGGUGGGGUCUUUCACAAGCCUGCAGUGUUGCUCUUAUGUAGGUUUAGCUUGGGACAUAAAAUCGAUUGCUCCACGAAGCUCCAAGAUUCUUGACUACGAGACCAGAGCCAGCAUCGCUGAUCAAACUGUGGAUGUCUCAGGGCUUGCAAGGGAAAAGGAAAUGAAGAUAGACUACUAG
rnacentral:lncRNA from 1 species